rnacentral:rRNA from 1 species
GAUGAACGCUGGCGGCGUGCUUAACACAUGCAAGUCGAACGGAAAGGCCGAAGCUUGCUUCGGUACUCGAGUGGCGAACGGGUGUGUAACACGUGUGUGAUCUGCCCUGUACUUCGUGAUAAGCUUGGGAAACUCGGUCUAAUACCGUAUAUGACGAUCUCUUGGUUGGUGUUGUUGAAAGCUUUUGCGUUAUGGGAUGAGCUCGCGGCCUAUCAGCUUGUUGGUGGGGUAAUGGCCUACCAAGGCGUCGACGGGUAGCCGGCCUGAGAGGGUGUACGGACACAUUGGGACUGAGAUACGGCCCAGACUACUACGGGAGGCAGAAAUGGGGAAUAUUGCACAAUGGGAGAAAGCCUGAUGCAGAGACGCCGCGUGGGGGAUGACGGCCUUCGGGUUGUAAAAUCAUACCGAAAUCGACGAAGCCUUGUGGUGACGGUAGGUUGAGAAGAAGCACCGGCUAACUACGUG